UACGUAGGGUGCGAGCGUUGUCCGGAAUUAUUGGGCGUAAAGGGCUCGUAGGCGGUUUGUCGCGUCGGGAGUGAAAACCCAGGGCUUAACUCUGGGCUUGCUUUCGAUACGGGCAGACUAGAGGUAUGCAGGGGAGAACGGAAUUCCUGGUGUAGCGGUGAAAUGCGUAGAUAUCCGGAGGAACACCAGUGGCGAAGGCGACUUUCUGGCCUGUUCUUGACGCUGAGGCGCGAAAGCUAGGGGAGCAAACGGG
rnacentral:rRNA from 1 species